rnacentral:piRNA from 1 species
UACAAUAUACACUUUUUCGUA